CGGGGGGAGCAAGCGUUGUUCGGAUUUACUGGGCGUAAAGGGCGCGUAGGCGGCCACCGCAAGUCGACUGCGAAAUCUCCGGGCUUAACCCGGAACGGUCAGCCGAUACUGCGGGGCUAGAGUGCAGAAGGGGCAACUGGAAUUCUCGGUGUAGCGGUGAAAUGCGUAGAUAUCGAGAGGAACACCUGCGGCGAAGGCGGGUUGCUGGGCUGACACUGACGCUGAGGCGCGAAAGCUAGGGGAGCGAACGGGAUUAGAUACCCCGGUAGUCCUAGCCUUAAACGAUGAAUGCUUGGUGUCUGGGGUUUUAUAGUCCCCGGGUGCCGUCGCUAACGCUUUAAGCAUUCCGCCUGGGGAGUACGGUCGCAGGACUG
rnacentral:rRNA from 1 species